ACGCGCCCUUACUGCUCGCACGCGGACGACCGUUGGAAGCGCGAGGCGGUGCCCGUGUGAGGGCUGUGGUGAGCGAGGGCAGCGUCGAGGUUCGGCGCUUCCGUCGGCUCACAGAUCGAGCCGCGCUGCCCGCCCCGCUGGAAUGAGCUGAGACUGAGCGCUGCGGCCCUUGGCCGGAGGGCAUUCACAACCAGGACAGGCCCGGGAGGUCACAGGCGCGGUUUCCGAGGCGUUGAGUCCCGUGCCAGUAGCAGCAGGGCCGUCGAGGAAAGCUCCUCAGCCUCCACUUGAGCCGCUUGCGUGAGGCAGCAGUGGGGUGCUGAACAUUCCUUAUGGAACCGGGCGGUACUGCACGCGUACAGCACGAGCUGGGAGAGCUACACAAAGCCUGAGGUCACCGUCCUUUGGCAGCGGUAACGACAGGUGGCAGUGCUGUGCCUGAGGUGCAGAACGCCGUCUGAGGAACAGCUCUGAUUCCCGCCCCGCCGGGGACGCAGCAGCGGGAACGCAGCGUUUGUACGCACAAACUCCGUGAAGCUGAGGGGCAAGUUUCAUAUUUUAAUCACGAGCUGAUUUCUGCAACAGCACAUCUGCUGGAAUGUGAACAUACACAUCUCUGUGUGUGUGCCAAAAAACUCAGUUACACAGAACUGGCCCUGUGCCACUAACAUUGCUGCAGUCAGACAGCAACCAACUUGAAUUCCUGCUCCUCACAGCCGGAAUGUUGUCCAAAAGGCAAAGAUGCACCAAUGUCUGUUUGAGCCCGGGGUACAGCAGGAACUGGGGAUAAUGAGACAUGUGAGCAGAAGAAGGGUGGGAGGAAUAAAAAAGUGAUUUAAUGGUGCAUGACAUGAAUGGAGAAAAAUACAGUCUAAGAAUAAAUUGCUAAAGAAGAAUAGAAAGCAGAGACACUCAUCUCCCUCCAGCAACGAUGAAAUCUAAGGAUAACAGGAAAUAAAGCAAUUAAGGUCAAGACUGGUAUCAAGCUUCUGUUCAGAUCAGCAUGCUCAUCAGAAUCCAAGCUGCUAAACGAGGGAGAGGGCAGUGAGCAAACAACUGCAUGGUGUUCAGCUGCCUGCCGAGUUAAAGCACAGCAAUAAUAGCGGGGGGAAAAGAAGUACCUGACGAGAGAAAGACCCAACUAUGGAUGGCAGAAGGGGAAGUGAAGAUGGCAGAAGUGUGGGAAACCUCACAGCCAGUCAAAGCCAACAACACUGAAUUAAGAUGUCGUUAUCAGCCAUCUGUUCCUGGUCCUGCUCUCAAUUUCUUCCAUCAAAGAAAUAAUUCCAGACAUGAAACACCUCAUUGGAGCAACAAUCACCUGAAACUGCCAGAGUGCUGCAAUGCAACAGUGGGCCUGGCUUGCAGGGAGCAAUUGAAGGAACUUUUUCCGAUAUGCUGGUGUCACCAUAUACAGCAG